GGCCUCAUGGUGUAAUAGCACUCUGGACUCUGAAUCCAGUGAUCCAAGUUCAAAUCUCAAUGGGACCU
rnacentral:tRNA from 1 species